GGAUGCGAUCAUAGCAGCACUAAAGCACCGGAUCCCAUCAGAACUCCGAAGUUAAGCGUGCUUGGGCGAGAAUAGUACUAGGAUGGGUGACCUCCUGGGAAGUCCUCGUGUUGCAUUCC
rnacentral:rRNA from 1 species